rnacentral:rRNA from 1 species
GUAGGUGGCAAGCGUUGUCCGGAUUUACGGGGCGUAAAGGAUGCGUAGGCGGACAUUUAAGUCAGAUGUGAAAUACCCGAGCUUAACUUGGGUGCUGCAUUUGAAACUGGGUGUCUAGAGUGCAGGAGAGGUAAGUGGAAUUCCUAGUGUAGCGGUGAAAUGCGUAGAGAUUAGGAAGAACACCAGUGGCGAAGGCGACUUACUGGACUGUAACUGACGCUGAGGCAUGAAAGCGUGGGGAGCAAACAGG